CGUUUGUAUGUUCGCUGCCACCCGUCGCCUCCCCUUUAACUCGCUCGCGGCGCUCAGACAUGCGCAGUUUGUCUCGGAGCGGAGAAGAGGUCCGACUAAUCGACAGAAAUAAAUUUCCCUACAUAAAUCAUAAGACAUCACAACGAUAUGUGAAUUAAUCAGCGCUUCGCUUCCAGAGACGGUGGGACUACGUCCAACUUUUGUUGUCAAAAGAAGCUGAAAGAAACUGACGCUCUCGCCGGUCUCCGUGUCAGAGUGUAAAUAUGUAGCAGAAUCAGAAACCGAGGACCUUGCUGUUAGAGAGUCUCACACCAAUCGUCAACAGGAAGGAGAUGAAGAUGAUGUUAAUGGUUCUUGUCCAUCUUUCUGGCAGCAGCUAUUGAUUAAUGGACGUUCACCAUCCAGAACUUCCUGCGGUUGGGCGGCGUCCAGGCGGUGUGUGUGACAUUUCAGGAAGAAGACCUGACUCCAGGAUUGUUACUGGGAACAGAUUAGCUGCAGGGAGCUGAAAGGGACUGCAGAGCAUCACAGGAGAUCCUGGAUCAUUAUGGCCACAAAGCCUGCUGGUUGCUAUGGCAACGUAGUCGAACAGCAUCCGUCCAUCCCUGAGAACCAGACAGAAGACAAGAGUCAGCAGGUUCUGCUUCCCAUCAUGCAGCUGGGCAGGGGGCGGGGCCUGGCGGACCUGGUGGACUGCAUCUGCCGGGUCGUCUCCG